GAUGAAGAACGUAGCGAAAUGCGAUACGUAAUGUGAAUUGCAGAAUUCAGUGAAUCAUCGAAUCUUUGAACGCAUAUUGCGCUCUCUGGUAUUCCGGAGAGCAUGCUUGUUUGAGUAUCAGUAAACACCUCAACUUCCAUAUCUUUUUUGAAAUGGGAGUUGGACUUGAGUGAUCCCAACGCUUUUUCUCACCGAAAAGUGGCGGGUUACUUGAAAUGCAGGUGCAGCUGGACUUUUCUCUGAGCUAUAAGCAUAUCUAUUUAGUCUGCCUAAAAAACAGAUUAUUACCUUUGCUGCAGCUAACAUAAAGGAGAUUAGUUCUUGUGCUGACUGAUGCAGGAUUCACAAAGACAGGCUUCGGCCGACUUUGUAAACUCGAUCUCAAAUCAAGUAAGACUACCCGCUGAACUUAAGCAUAUCAAUAAGCGGAGGA
rnacentral:misc_RNA from 1 species